rnacentral:rRNA from 1 species
GCCAUCGGCCAUACCAUACUGAAUACGCCGGUUCUCGUCCGAUCACAGAAGCUAAGCAGAAUCGGGCUCCGUCAGUACAUGGGAGGGUGAAGAAUGUCACGGGUGGUG